rnacentral:rRNA from 1 species
AUGAAGAUAGCCAACGCCCUGCUACUCCUGGUCUCCCUCGCUCUCCUGGUGCUACCAUCAUCAGGCACGCGCACGCCGCCGGUGGUAGAAGGUGGCGCGGUGGUGGUGCCAACGGCCGACUGCUCAGGGACGGUGAUCGGGCGGGGCAAGAAGUGCGAGCACCGGAAGUGUGAGGCGGAGUGCCGGCGGCAGCACGAUGGGAUCGGCGCGUGCGCAGCCCUGGGGUGCAGUUGCGCCUUCUGCGUGAGGUAUCCUCCCUCCUCCGUGGAUGCACAGGCAAACCGAUACUGA